rnacentral:rRNA from 1 species
GACAUAGGUGACGAACGUUAUCCGGAAUUAUUGGGCGUAAAGGAUGCGUAGAUGGUUCGAUAAGUUACUAGUGGGAAAUCGAGGCUCAACCUCGUGGAAGCUGGUAAUACUGUCGAGCUCGAGUGCAGGAGAGGUUAACGGAACUUUAUGUGGAGCGGUAAAAUGCGUAGAUAUAUGAAGGAACACCAGUGGCGAAGGCGACCACCUGGACUGAUACUGACACUGAGGUGCGAAAGCGUGGGGAGCAAACAGG